GUCUCUGCUGAGUGCAACCAAACCUACAGUGCAUGACAUGCUUACAAUAUACAAUGGUUAUCUCAUUACUUGUUUAACAAGUUAUAUCUUCAUUUGGACAGAAAAUGACUGCAGUGUUACUCCUGCUUCAGGAGUCUGGUGUGUCUGCUCACAUGAAUGGAAGCGUAGGGAAGUGCCACAUAAUACAGUGUUGAUCUCAUUUCUUGUGCAACAAGUAAUAUCCUGUUUUGGACAGAAUACUCGUGGAAUACUCUUCAUUACUAAUGUGCCUAAGGAUGCCUACAGUGAAUGGUGUCUGAGGCUGAUUUCUCGCAAAACCCACAGUGUAUUAUAAUGAUUGUGGCAUACCUCAUUAAUUGUACAACAAGUAAUUUCUCGAUUUGGGAAGAACAUCGCUGCAGUUCUACUGCUGUUUCUGGGGCGCAAGGAUGGCUGCAGAGCUACAGUGCAUGGAAGCUCAUGCCUUCUGCUCGAGAAAUUACAAUGCAUUACAUUGACUGUGCU